ACUUAUAUAGUUUAAAACCAAAACAUAUCAUUUUCAAUGAUAAAAUAGAUUACAAUUCUUAUAAGUU
rnacentral:tRNA from 1 species